rnacentral:piRNA from 1 species
GCUGCUCGUCCGGUGGCUCGCCGUGAUC